UACGAAGGGGGCUAGCGUUGUUCGGAAUUACUGGGCGUAAAGCGCACGUAGGCGGGUAUUUAAGUCAGGGGUGAAAUCCUGGAGCUCAACUCCAGAACUGCCUUUGAUACUGAAGAUCUUGAGUUCGGGAGAGGUGAGUGGAACUGCGAGUGUAGAGGUGAAAUUCGUAGAUAUUCGCAAGAACACCAGUGGCGAAGGCGGCUCACUGGCCCGAUACUGACGCUGAGGCACGAAAGCGUGGGGAGCAAACAGG
rnacentral:rRNA from 1 species